AGAGUUUGAUCCUGGCUCAGGACGAACGCUGGCGGCGUGCCUAAUACAUGCAAGUUGAGCGCUGAAGGUUGGUACUUGUACCGACUGGAUGAGCAGCGAACGGGUGAGUAACGCGUGGGGAAUCUGCCUUUGAGCGGGGGACAACAUUUGGAAACGAAUGCUAAUACCGCAUAAAAACUUUAAACACAAGUUUAAGUUUGAAAGAUGCAAUUGCAUCACUCAAAGAUGAUCCCGCGUUGUAUUAGCUAGUUGGUGAGGUAAAGGCUCACCAAGGCGAUGAUACAUAGCCGACCUGAGAGGGUGAUCGGCCACAUUGGGACUGAGACACGGCCCAAACUCCUACGGGAGGCAGCAGUAGGGAAUCUUCGGCAAUGGACGAAAGUCUGACCGAGCAACGCCGCGUGAGUGAAGAAGGUUUUCGGAUCGUAAAACUCUGUUGGUAGAGAAGAACGUUGGUGAGAGUGGAAAGCUCAUCAAGUGACGGUAACUACCCAGAAAGGGACGCUAACUACGUGCCAGCAGCCGCGGUAAUACGUAGGUCCCGAGCGUUGUCCGGAUUUAUUGGCGUAAAGCGAGCGCAGGUGGUUUAUUAAGUCUGGUGUAAAAAGGCAGUGGCGUCAACCAUUGUAUGCAUUGGAAAACUGKAGACUUGAGUGCAGGANAGGGAGAGUGGAAUUUCCAUGUGUAGCGGUGAAAUGCGUAGAUAUAUGGAGGAACACCGGUGGCGAAAGCGGCUCUCUGGCCUGUAACUGACACUGAGGCUCGAAAGCGUGGGGAGCAAACAGGAUUAGAUACCCUGGUAGUCCACGCCGUAAACGAUGAGUGCUAGAUGUAGGGAGCUAUAAGUUCUCUGUAUCGCAGCUAACGCAAUAAGCACUCCGCCUGGGGAGUACGACCGCUAAGGUUUUGGAAAACGUUCG
rnacentral:rRNA from 1 species